rnacentral:sRNA from 1 species
UUUUUUAAACUUAAUAACUAAUUUCUACUUGUAAUUGGUUUCAGAAAUACUAUUGAUUUUAAAGAACAAACUAAAUUUUAUAUCGAAUUUUUGUAUACAAAAUUUGUACAAUUUUAUUAGUUUAUCAAUAAAUUAAUAUCUCUCUAAAUUAAUAAAUUUCUUGGUCCUAAUAUUAUUAAUUUAUAGAGGUUUUGUUGUGGCCGACAUGAAUUCUUCGACGCAGAAGAAGCCCAAAUGAUUUAUUAGCAACAAAAACAAUAUAAUGGACCCAGUAUGGAGCUAAAGUUAUAUUGUUCAUAUGUGACAUUGUGUUGGGGGUUUUAGCACCUUGAUACAACGAGGAAUAUGUUGCUUCACUCAUCAGUUUUUGGAGUUAUUUAAAGAUGACGAAAAAGAGAGGAUAGUAGACAAACAAAAACAAUGGACGUCAUCCAUUAUGCCUCUUUGUUUCUUGGGGAUGAAGCCGUCUGAUGUCAAUGCCUAUGAUAGAGCUGAGGACGGCGAAAGCUCAAAAAUCCAGUCUCAAAAAGAGAAAACAGAUCAAAUCGUCAAAGCAAAGGCCCAUAAGGAUGUCGGAAACACUAGUUUGCCUGAAAGUCCAGUUGAGCCGGCAAAUCCGUUAUCUGAGAUCAAGCAAGAACCAGAAAAACUUCCUUGUGGUUAUGAAUGGAUCACAUGCGACUUGAACACUGAUGAUAUGUGUUCAGAGGUGUGCAAAUUUCUCAAGGAACAAUAUCUUGUUGACGGACAAAAGUUCAAGGAUGCUCUUCAACAACUUGCGCUAGAUGAUACAUUCGUUUGGUUUUAUUAUUAUUUUGCUUCUUCUCUAUAUGAACUACUUUUCCCAUGCGAUUUUUUUACUUUUGA